rnacentral:rRNA from 1 species
CCCUUAGAUGUUCUGGGCCGCACGCGUGCUACACUGAACGGUUCAAUGGGUAAGGUAGUGCGAAAGCAUGACCUAAUCUCGAAAUCCGUUCGUGCUGGGGAUAGAAGCUUGCAAUUAUCCUUCUUGAACGAGGAAUACCUUGUAAGCGUGAGUCAUCAUCUCACGCUGAAUACGUCCCUGCCCUUUGUACACACCGCCCGUCGCUCCUACCGAUUGAGUGUUCCGGUGAGGCUUCGGGAGAACUGGGUGGAUUGUGUUUCACAAACUGCUCGGUUUGAACUUAGUCAAGCCUUAUCACUUAGAGGAAGGAGAAGUCGUAACA